rnacentral:rRNA from 1 species
GUAAGGAAUAUUGGGCAAUGGGCGCAAGCCUGACCCAGCAACGCCGCGUGAGGGAAGAAGGCUUUCGGGUUGUAAACCUCUGUCCUUGGUGACGAAAAAAAUGACGGUAGCCAAGGAGGAAGCCCCGGCUAACUACGUGCCAGCAGCCGCGGUAAUACGUAGGGGGCGAGCGUUGUCCGGAAUUACUGGGCGUAAAGGGUGCGUAGGUGGCCUUUUAAGUUGGAUGUGAAAUACCCGGGCUUAACUUGGGGGGUGCAUCCAAAACUGGGAGGCUAGAGUGCAGGAGAGGAAAGCGGAAUUCCUAGUGUAGCGGUGAAAUGCGUAGAUAUUAGGAGGAACACCAGUGGCGAAGGCGGCUUUCUGGACUGUAACUGACACUGAGGCACGAAAGCGUGGGGAGCAAACAGGAUUAGAUACCCGAGUAGUCC